rnacentral:rRNA from 1 species
CGGGUCGGUCGGCGUGCUGAGACGGAGUGCGGGGGUGGAGGACGGGCGGGCGGAGUGGCACGCGGGGACCGGUGGGGGGCGACAGCUCGUGGCGGUGGCCGAUGGGAGGAGGGUAGUCCUGGGGCUCGCGGGCUGGGCCGGAAACAAGCAGCGGUCGUGGACGCCUAGGCCGGCGGGAGCGGAAGGGGCAGCCAACGUGGAGGGUCGCGACGGCGGGGACGGUUCGAGGCGGCAGACCUAGGUGUAGGGGUGCCGGCCUUGCUCAGGAGGAGCUCCUCGGCGCGUAGGAGAUGGACGAGGUUGACGCGUGCAGGAGACGAUCCAGCUGAAGGACGAUCCAGUCUAGACGAGGUUGAACUCGCGGGGGGGUUAGAAAAGAAGGGGCUAGGUCACCCUAAAGGUACUCACAGUACGUUGUUUAGCCCUUCGUCGUCCCGGGCAGACCGACCACGAUCUCACUACUUAAACAACUUGAUCCAUUUCGACAUCUACAGUUUGUACGAGACUUGAAAUGACGUGUUCAUAAGCUGUCGUACCAAGAUAAUCACUGGCUCCCUAAACCUCCAUGUCCAUGACUUCCCAUUACCUAAACUUCCAACGAUAUAGAACUCAACAGGGUAACAGAAUGAUUUAAGUCCUAAGUUGAAUCCUCUCACAUGUCUUAUACGUCCAAACAUAACAAAGGCCACAUACAACCAGUACGUAGCUUACAGUGAGUCAAAGAUCCUUUAAGUUCUACCGUACAUUCGAAGAGGAUAAACUACAUAAAAAUGAAAGAGUUUUAGAGAAAUAAUUAUGGUUACUACUAAAAUAAAGACGGACUACUGAACGACAGUAUAACAAAUCGUUUCUUUGUCUGUUUGUUCCUCUCUUUUGAAUUUGUUCUCUCUACAUACUCCUACAGUCGCAGAGUAGUUUGUACAUAACACACUCCUGUGGGAAGCAGGCUGGAUUAGAACUGCUAGUAGACAUCCAUGUGUGUAUGUACAAGAAGGGCCGGCGGAGAACCAAAUCAAGUGUACAGAACUUAAUGAAACUAAGAAAACCAUUGUAGUUUGACCCAACGUAUCUUCAUUGACGAUGACCCAAACUGGAAACACUCCUUAGAUGUCGUCGUGAAGCUUUGAGGGUCCGACAAAAGUAGUCGUUCGAAUGUCGACUGGUGUACUACCUUGAGCUAUUAUGAUGUGACAUGCUACAUGAACUCUAAGGUUACUUAUGGGCAGCUUCGCUACACCAGUAGUCGUACAUACGAGAGUUAGAGGACGAUCCCAUAAAAGAAAAUUUGCUACGAUGACAGUGUACUACGUAUAGUACCAAAACAACACACCAUUAAACUGGACGUGUUGUGAACAACGAUAAUAGGAAAGCUCCUACGUCUUACUAAGAAGUUAAACCCCACGGUUGAUACGAUCGAAAUAUAACGACUUACAUCCUCGAAUAAAAAAGAACAAUCAAUAAGUUACUAUAACCCGUCCCGUAGAGUUACUUGAUAAGAAAGAUUAAGGACCUCAAUGUACACACUAACGAAUCUGAGAAGAUUAUCACAGUAUCAGACCAACCAACGAACCGACUUUAUCAAAGAAUGCCCGGAGCAAGACCUGGACAAGGGUACAUAUAUCUUAUAUAAAAGAUGACGAAAGUAGUUUGUUUUUUCAGUAUUUGUAAUUUAUAAAUUUCAAAACAGAGCAAGUAUGAAAGAUCUUAAACUUUGACAUGACUUUAGUAGUAUCUUUAAGGCGUUCUUAUAAUUUCCGUGGGCACAGUAAGUAGGGAUGAUCUACUACUUACGAUAACGAUUAAAAAAACAGAGUUUCUACGGAGUAAAAGUACUUCUUCUUUCGAGUCAUCUGGUUUUAAGGUAUAGUAAAGAAGAAAGAAUUCCUUUUGACUGACGUCCGUCGUUAGUGUCUACAAGUCGGAUAAAAGUCAACUGUUAUAUGACUUAUUAAACCGUCACUUGUUCAUGUCUUUUGAGACAAUUCUUCGCUAUCAAAACUUGGACCCAAAUAUUUUCUUUUACAUGGUUAAGCACAACUUUUAUAGAAUCCGUAGUUCAGGUGGUCCAAACUCUACAAGUGUCUUUGUACAGUCAAAGUCCGUUGAUGUUAAGUCUUAACAAACGGUGUGAUAUUGCAAAGUCCUUUAGUCUUUGUAAAGGGUACUACAAUUAUACAACUGAUCCCCGGAAAACAUCGAUGAAAUUACUUUUAACAUCAUGGUGUCACAGGACGACGUAUAUAAUUUAACGUUUCCCUUUCAUUAUUUUGAAUCCUGAACCAACAGAUAGACUAGGUAGUCAUUCGUUCGUCCCCGGUACAACAGUUCCUUGUCUCAAGUUUUUGGUGGUUAGAGUCCUUGUGAGACUGGUACAUAAACUAAGACAAUUUCUGGGUUAUAUACUAUUCUACGAUAAAAGUAAACGAUCCGUUGGUACUUUUGCAAAGACAGGUUAAGUAUUAAAUUUAAUCAGUACACACAAGAAAAUAGGUCAAUAAUGUUAAAAUGAGUACACAGAAGAAAAUAAAUCAAUACACUCCUUCUUCCCUAAUGUAGCUACACAUUAUACAAGAAACAAGAUGUCUGUAUGGAUGUACCCUAAUAUCAAGUCAAUCUUUAGAUUCUAAUAAAAGGAGAUCUUUACUCGUAAUCGGGAGUCUUGUCUUUGCUUGACGUGUUGAUACGAGGAUGAAUUAAUGCAUAAUUAGUUAUACAAGUAAUAAUGUCAUUCCAAUCUUUGACGUAAACACAUAAACAUGGUUCGAAGGAACGAGUAGAGUAAGACACGGAUGGUACAACAUACAGCCUUUCGUCACCAAAACUAUAUCUCGAUAUCAAGUAGAUAUACAAAGACGACGGAUAUAUAAUAACUACACAAAGGGAGUGGACGAUAAACUUACUGUAUUAGGAAGUCUAGAAAGGGUUUAAAACACAAUUUCGAUUGUUCUGGGGGGGGGAAGGACAUUUAUGUUGAAACUUACUUCCUUUCGUUAUGUCCCGGCGGAAAUAUAGAAUCCAGUGAGGUAUCGUCCCUCGUUCUCACCCGUGUAGACUCAAGUCUAUAAGUCAGUGACAAAAGGUUAGGUAGAGUUCGAGGUGUCCAGGAAACCUUUGAAAACGGUCUCGUCGGUUUGGUCCCGAUAGGCCCGAAGUCGAAGGAGGUGUGACAGCCUUUGACCAUUGAGUGUCAGAUAUUAUACGUACGAAACGGCCAAGGGACGUUCGUGAAAGCCGGUACUGGAGUUCAAGACGUCGAUCCGGCACUUACAAAACUAGGAAGAGUGGCAGGUGGCUACUACCGGGCUGUCUUUAGUCCCUUCCUCUUUUCCUACAAAAACAGUACCAGCAGCCUUGCUGAACGGCACCUACGUCAGUACGUGACCUACUGUAGUUGCCGAUCGGUACCUGCUCGUGGAGCGGCGGAGGUAUUUUAUACCUACGUGCCCUAAGACGAUGAUUGUAAAGUCACACAAAACAACGCCACGACACUGUAUAUGUGGAAGUCGCGCGUACAUUACAAACAGUCGAUGAUGAAAUCUAUUUAUUGGUGACAUAAGAUAACAUAAACAUUAACUUUACAAGUAUACACAAAUUGGUAGACCGUUUCUCCGAGUGACCUACAAAGAAUAUUAUAAGAUAGACAUUAUCUGUACAUGCGUACAUAAAUUGGUAGACCGUUUCUCCGAGUAACCUACAAAGUUUCAAAUGGAAAGAUCUUG